UACGUAGGGUGCGAGCGUUGUCCGGAAUUAUUGGGCGUAAAGAGCUCGUAGGCGGUCUGUCGCGUCUGCUGUGAAAACCCGAGGCUCAACCUCGGGCCUGCAGUGGGUACGGGCAGACUAGAGUGCGGUAGGGGAGAAUGGAAUUCCUGGUGUAGCGGUGGAAUGCGCAGAUAUCAGGAGGAACACCGGUGGCGAAGGCGGGAUCCUGGGCCAGUACUGACGCUGAGGAGCGAAAGCGUGGGGAGCAAACAGG
rnacentral:rRNA from 1 species